UCUUAUAUUGGCGCUCUGCCUUCAAGCUCUCUGAGCUCAGUACGGCCUCACGGCUCCUUGGGUUUAUUUUGCUUAAACUCUUAUAAUAUUGGCGCUCUGCCUUCAGGCUCUAACAGCUCAUUUGGUUAUAUACACUUAAAUGACGUCUCUUCAUGUCAAAUUAUAAAUCAGACGGGAUCUCUUGUUUGCAUUGAUCUCACACAUACACUUUCUUCUCUAUACAACCCCCUCCAUGUCAUUCUAGUACCAUUGCACCGAUCUUACCUUUCUCUUUCGGAGUGUCGGACAUUCUCGUAUCACUCAGUCAACUGGUAGGUCACGUUUUUUGGGCAUUAUUCUCGGUCAUAAACCAACAACCGCUUAUUGUGCGUACUUGUCAGAAAUAAUACAUUCGAGGCACCGAUCUCUGGUUUGCAGAACGACAAGAAGGCCGGUUUUGGUGCGCGGUUAUUUCCCAAGAAACCGACUACUGGCUGUUUCUCAUCAUUGAAAUCAGGCACGUGUCAAGGCUUCAUACAUUUUCGGCAUUGUCACGACGAAGGUCAUCACUUUUAUCGCUCGGAAGGAACACCACCGGCAGAAUUUUUUCAGACUGCGCCUGAGCGUACCAAACGUGAUUAUAUAAUAGCAAUCCCAGGCAGACACAGUGACGCUAGCUCGUUCGGAGUCAGAGACCCAUUAUUUUGCAUUCAUCGCUUUGAUAGACCGCAUGGGCCCGGUUUAUACUUAAGAGAGACUACACAGGCGAGCCUCAAAAGGUAUGAGCGAGGAGCUUAACAACACAAGCCUGUACGACGAGGACUCUCUUUUGGGCGCGGACGGCGAUAACGACUCAGUAGAUCAGAAUACCGACCUCGAUUUUACAUUAAUUGGUAGCGACUUUGCGCUCAACGAGGAUUCCCUCAUCGAUAACCUGUCCACCCUGAAAGUAGGAAUCAACUCGUACACUUCAGAGUCAUCCUUUCCACUACAUUCGGACAUAAUAAGCACCACCAGCGCCAGUGAAUCAAGAGCCAACGAAUCAGGGAAUCAUAAUCCAAGCCACGAAUUUACGUCUAGCAGCAUCAACAUAGUGCCCAACGGGGAUCCCCUCAUCAGCAACGCGUCAACUCUGAAGCUAGAUUUAAACACAUCCACGGCUAACGUACCUGUAACUACACAUUCGGAUACGGUAAGCACCACUAGUGCCGGCAUAGCGAAGGUAAAUUCAUCCAGUAAGCAAGUAGAGGUUCAAACCAUUGGCAAGCGAUCCAGAGAGGACGAAUCUUUCUCAAAAUCUGCGAAGCGAAGGAAAGUCAUCAUGUCUUCAGACGACGAAACGGUCAACAAACCAGAUCUGAACCUCGUGUUAAUCGUACCUGAGGACAGCGACUGUCUCUUUUCGGACAAGCAGGGUGGUAAAAUCGCUGCAAAAGUAGCCAGCGCCAUGAAAGCCGAAGAGGACGUCAAUGUGAAAUUUUAAUUUAGCGGCCCAGACAGAGGACGCUAUAAAUUUGUGUGCCCGAAUGAGGCUGCCAAGAAAUGGGCGCUAAACAUUCUCCCCAAACUCGAAGGAUUGUUUGACAAGAUCAAGUUGAAGGUCAUCGACCAAGGUGUCAUUCCCAAACUGCUUAAAGCUUCGGUGAUUUUCAACAACAAACCACCCAAUUUUGUGGACUUUUGCGAAGAAUUGGAGCGCGAGAAUGACACCCUUGAUACUCUACAUUGGAGACCGUACAAAAACCAGCGAAUCAGAGGAGAUAGAACAAUCGUAUUUUUCGGCAUAGAUGAGGCAUCCGUUGCAGCACUCAAGGAUAUGGGCCACAGGCCUUACUACGAAACCGGCAGGAUCAAGGUUACAGCUGAAUCGAAGAAAUAAUGUCCGUAAAGAUUUAUACCAUAAUAUGCACCUUACGCAGUCAAUUAAACAU